rnacentral:rRNA from 1 species
AAUCCAUAGGUUAAUGAGGCGAACCGGGGGAACUGAAACAUCUAAGUACCCCGAGGAAAAGAAAUCAACCGAGAUUCCCCCAGUAGCGGCGAGCGAACGGGGAGGAGCCCAGAGCCUGAAUCAGCAUAUGUGUUAGUGGAAGCGUCUGGAAAGGCGCGCGAUACAGGGUGACAGCCCCGUACACAAAAGCGCAUGUGCUGUGAGCUCGAUGAGUAGGGCGGGACACGUGGUAUCCUGUCUGAAUAUGGGGGGACCAUCCUCCAAGGCUAAAUACUCCUGACUGACCGAUAGUGAACCAGUACCGUGAGGGAAAGGCGAAAAGAACCCCGGCGAGGGGAGUGAAACAGAACCUGAAACCGUGUACGUACAAGCAGUGGGAGCCCCACCACUAAGCCAGUGGUGAACUCCACAUACGCAUCCUUUGCUGAGGAUACGGUUAGCGGAGCGAAAGCGACGUUCAACCUCAAAAGAAGCAGAGGGGGCUUAGUGGUGGGGUGACUGCGUACCUUUUGUAUAAUGGGUCAGCGACUUAUAUUCUGUAGCAAGGUUAACCGUAUAGGGGAGCCGAAGGGAAACCGAGUCUUAACCGGGCGUUAAGUUGCAGGGUAUAGACCCGAAACCCGGUGAUCUAGCCAUGGGCAGGUUGAAGGUUGGGUAACACUAACUGGAGGACCGAACCGACUAAUGUUGAAAAAUUAGCGGAUGACCUGUGGCUGGGGGUGAAAGGCCAAUCAAACCGGGAGAUAGCUGGUUCUCCCCGAAAGCUAUUUAGGUAGCGCCUCGUGAAUUCAUCUCCGGGGGUAGAGCACUGUUUCGGCUAGGGGGCCAUCCCGGCUUACCAACCCGAUGCAAACUGCGAAUACCGGAGAAUGUUAUCACGGGAGACACACGGCGGGUGCUAACGUCCGUCGUGAAGAGGGAAACAACCCAGACCGCCAGCUAAGGUCCCAAAGUCAUGGUUAAGUGGGAAACGAUGUGGGAAGGCCCAGACAGCCAGGAUGUUGGCUUAGAAGCAGCCAUCAUUUAAAGAAAGCGUAAUAGCUCACUGGUCGAGUCGGCCUGCGCGGAAGAUGUAACGGGGCUAAACCAUGCACCGAAGCUGCGGCAGCGACACUAUGUGUUGUUGGGUAGGGGAGCGUUCUGUAAGCCUGCGAAGGUGGCCUGUGAGGGUUGCUGGAGGUAUCAGAAGUGCGAAUGCUGACAUAAGUAACGAUAAAGCGGGUGAAAAGCCCGCUCGCCGGAAGACCAAGGGUUCCUGUCCAACGUUAAUCGGGGCAGGGUGAGUCGACCCCUAAGGCGAGGCCGAAAGGCGUAGUCGAUGGGAAACGGGUUAAUAUUCCCGUACUUGGUGUUACUGCGAAGGGGGGACGGAGAAGGCUAUGUUGGCCGGGCGACGGUUGUCCCGGUUUAAGCGUGUAGGUGUGUGUUCCAGGUAAAUCCGGUUCACUUUAACACUGAGGCGUGACGACGAGGCACUACGGUGCUGAAGCAACAAAUGCCCUGCUUCCAGGAAAAGCCUCUAAGCAUCAGGUAACAUCAAAUCGUACCCCAAACCGACACAGGUGGUCAGGUAGAGAAUACCAAGGCGCUUGAGAGAACUCGGGUGAAGGAACUAGGCAAAAUGGUGCCGUAACUUCGGGAGAAGGCACGCUGACACGUAGGUGAAGUGAUUUACUCACGGAGCUGAAGUCAGUCGAAGAUACCAGCUGGCUGCAACUGUUUAUUAAAAACACAGCACUGUGCAAACACGAAAGUGGACGUAUACGGUGUGACGCCUGCCCGGUGCCGGAAGGUUAAUUGAUGGGGUCAGCGCAAGCGAAGCUCCUGAUCGAAGCCCCGGUAAACGGCGGCCGUAACUAUAACGGUCCUAAGGUAGCGAAAUUCCUUGUCGGGUAAGUUCCGACCUGCACGAAUGGCGUAAUGAUGGCCAGGCUGUCUCCACCCGAGACUCAGUGAAAUUGAACUCGCUGUGAAGAUGCAGUGUACCCGCGGCAAGACGGAAAGACCCCGUGAACCUUUACUAUAGCUUGACACUGAACAUUGAGCCUUGAUGUGUAGGAUAGGUGGGAGGCUUUGAAGCGUGGACGCCAGUCUGCGUGGAGCCGACCUUGAAAUACCACCCUUUAAUGUUUGAUGUUCUAACGUGGACCCGUGAUCCGGGUUGCGGACAGUGUCUGGUGGGUAGUUUGACUGGGGCGGUCUCCUCCUAAAGAGUAACGGAGGAGCACGAAGGUUGGCUAAUCCUGGUCGGACAUCAGGAGGUUAGUGCAAUGGCAUAAGCCAGCUUGACUGCGAGCGUGACGGCGCGAGCAGGUGCGAAAGCAGGUCAUAGUGAUCCGGUGGUUCUGAAUGGAAGGGCCAUCGCUCAACGGAUAAAAGGUACUCCGGGGAUAACAGGCUGAUACCGCCCAAGAGUUCAUAUCGACGGCGGUGUUUGGCACCUCGAUGUCGGCUCAUCACAUCCUGGGGCUGAAGUAGGUCCCAAGGGUAUGGCUGUUCGCCAUUUAAAGUGGUACGCGAGCUGGGUUUAGAACGUCGUGAGACAGUUCGGUCCCUAUCUGCCGUGGGCGCUGGAGAACUGAGGGGGGCUGCUCCUAGUACGAGAGGACCGGAGUGGACGCAUCACUGGUGUUCGGGUUGUCAUGCCAAUGGCACUGCCCGGUAGCUAAAUGCGGAAGAGAUAAGUGCUGAAAGCAUCUAAGCACGAAACUUGCCCCGAGAUGAGUUCUCCCUGAGACUUUAGGUCUCCUGAAGGAACGUUGAAGACGACGACGUUGAUAGGCCGGGUGUGUAAGCGCAGCGAUGCGUUGAGCUAACCGGUACUAAUGAACCGUGAGGCUUAACCUUACAACGCCGAAG